UUUAAAGCUUCAUUCUCAAGUUAGUACUCAAGUAAGGUUGAAUGCAUUUGCCAACUAAAAAAUGGAAUUCUUUGAAGAGGAUUCAUGUCAAGGUGGCUAGGUGCGAAGGCGAUGCAAGAUGCAUCCUAGGUGCCCCAAACACAGCAAAGCGCAAGAAGCAUCUGAACCAGCAAAAAAAUAGUUUACACUAGCCAAAAAUGGACUGAAUUGGACUAAAGCAGGGCUGCACCGGCAACUGAAAUUUGAAAGUGACUACAACCCUGAGCUUUAAGCCAAUCCAUAUAUCCGUCAUCUUUAUUGCAUUGGCUGCAAGACGCUCAGCCACGGUGUCGUGUGGGAGGUCGGCACUGGCAGCGCUCAGGCCAUCACCUUAUUUGGGAGUAUGUACAGAAGUGUAAUUGGCACAAAUACAUGCAAUACUCUCAAAAGCUAACUCGAUGCUAAAGAAACAUUCAAGAUUGAAUCGUGCGUGUAAUAUACGUCGUUAAACUUAGAAGGGUUCAUUUUCGAUUAGGGUUUUUGGGUUGUUUGAUAGGCGCCGCAACGCGGCGCAGACUAAAACCUAGUUCUUUCUAAGAACAUUCACAACAA
rnacentral:lncRNA from 1 species